GGGGCUAGCUAACUGCCAGUUCGAGCGAAGCGCUUAAGUCUGAUUCUUCGGAUGAAGGCUUUUGUGACUGAGCGGCGGACGGGUGAGUAACGCGUGGGCAACCUGCCUUACACAGGGGGAUAACAGUUAGAAAUGACUGCUAAUACCGCAUAAGACCACAGAGCUGCAUGGCUGAGUGGUAAAAACUCCGGUGGUGUAAGAUGGGCUCGCGUCCGAUUAGGUAGUUGGUGAGGUAACGGCCCACCAGGCCGACGAUCGGUAGCCGGACUGAGAGGUUGAACGGCCACAUUGGGACUGAGACACGGCCCAGACUCCUACGGGAGGCAGCAGUGGGGGAUAUUGCACAAUGGGGGAAACCCUGAUGCAGCGACGCCGCGCGUGGGAAGACGGUCUUCUGGAUUGUAAACCACUGUCCCCAGGGACGAAAAUGACGGUACCUGGGGAGGAAGCUCCGGCUAACUACGUGCCAGCAGCCGCGGUAAUACGUAGGGAGCAAGCGUUGUCCGGAAUUACUGGGUGUAAAGGGAGCGUAGGCGGGGAUGCAAGUUGGGUGUCAAAACUACCGGCUCAACCGAUAGUCGCACUCAAAACUGCAACUCUUGAGUGAAGUAGAGGCAGGCGGAAUUCCUAGUGUAGCGGUGAAAUGCGUAGAUAUUAGGAGGAACACCAGUGGCGAAGGCGGCCUGCUGGGCUUUUACUGACGCUGAGGCUCGAAAGUGUGGGGAGCAAACAGGAUUAGAUACCCUGGCAGUCCACACCGUANACGAUGAUUACUANGUGUGGGGGGUCUGACCCCCUCCGUGCCGGAGCAAACGCAAUAAGUAAUCCACCUGGGGAGUACGGCCGCAAG
rnacentral:rRNA from 1 species